GCAGGGAAGGUCAGCUUUCCAGGAGCCAGGAUCAGCUGCCGCACGAGCCUCUCGCCACUCCGAGCUCCGCGUGAGCCAAAGCCGGCUGUGAGGGCGGAGCGGCCCCAGCUAUGGAGCGUGCUCGCCUCCGACGAGGGUCUUGCACGCGAUGACCUUUUGCCUGAUCUGAGAACCAAGAGAGUCAACUCACUGGAAAAGACCCUGAUGCUGGGAAAGAUUGAGGGCAGGAGGAGAGGCGGCAACAGAGGAUGAGAUGGCUGGAUGGCAUCACGGACUCAGUGGACAUAAGUUUGAGCAAACUCCAGGAGAUGGUGAAGGACAGUGUAUAACUAUAUGUUUGCUGAGGAACAAAAGAAAACAGUCACAAUCAUUGGUCAUGGAUAUGGAUAGACUAUUAUCAUCUCUGAUGAUGAAACCAAGGCUUUGAGAGCUCAAGAAAUAGAACUAUAGGUGGAAAAAGGUUUGAAGUCCAUGUUGUCAAGUGUCAGAGUUCAUCAGAGCGUCACCAGUGGAGACUGCAACCACUCUUUCAGAAUCCUGAGCCUUGCUGAGAUAGAGGAGCCCAAAAGGAAGCAGAAAGAUUCCACCUGGAGAAGCUCAGAGUUGUCAAGAGUCCACACUGUACCAAAUGAAGAGUGCAGAUGGAAACCGUGGGUCUUUAGUGAGAUGUGUUGACCUAAAACAAACAGACUGCCAGAUAUUUCUCCAGGAAAGAUGGAAUUUAUUCAGUAUCAGCAAGAAUUGUUAUGUAUUAUUGUUAAUUUAGA
ensembl:lncRNA